UUGGAGGGCAAGUCUGGUGCCAGCAGCCGCGGUAAUUCCAGCUCCAAUAGCGUAUAUUAAAGUUGUUGCAGUUAAAAAGCUCGUAGUUGAAUUUCGGGAUCAGUACGUUGGUCGUGCCUUAGGUACGUACUGGUGUUACUGGUUCCUACCUUCUGACGAACCAUCAUGUCAUUUAUUUGGUGUGGCGGGGAAUCAGGACUGUUACUUUGAAAAAAUUAGAGUGUUUAAAGCAGGCUCGCGCUUGAAUACAUUAGCAUGGAAUAAUGAAAUAGGACGUUGAUCCUAUUUUGUUGGUUUCUAGGAUUGACGUAAUGAUUAAUAGGGAUAGUUGGGGGCAUUAGUAUUCAAUUGUCAGAGGUGAAAUUCUUGGAUUUAUUGAAGACUAACUACUGCGAAAGCAUUUGCCAAGGAUGUUUUCAUUAAUCAAGAACGAAAGUUAGGGGAUCGAAGACGAUCAGAUACCGUCGUAGUCUUAACCAUAAACUAUGCCGACUAGGGAUCGGAUGAUGUUAAUUUUUUAAUGGCUCAUUCGGCGCCUUACGGGAAAC
rnacentral:rRNA from 1 species